AUUGAACGCUGGCGGCAUGCCUUACACAUGCAAGUCGAACGGCAGCACGGGUGCUUGCACCUGGUGGCGAGUGGCGAACGGGUGAGUAAUACAUCGGAACAUGUCCUGUAGUGGGGGAUAGCCCGGCGAAAGCCGGAUUAAUACCGCAUACGAUCUACGUAUGAAAUCGGGGGACCUUCGUGCCUCGCGCUAUAGGGUUGGCCGAUGGCUGAUUAGCUAGUUGGUGGGGUAAAGUCCUACCAAGGCGACGAUCAGUAGCUGGUCUGAGAGGACGACCAGCCACACUGGGACUGAGACACGGCCCAGAAUCCUACGGGAGGCAGCAGUGGGGAAUUUUGGACAAUGGGCGAAAGCAUGAUACAGCAAUGCCGCGUGUGUGAAGAAGGCCUUCGGGUUGUAAAGCACUUUUGUCCGGAAAGAAAUCCUUGGCCCUAAUACGGUCGGGGGAUGACGGUACCGGAAGAAUAAGCACCGGCUAACUACGUG
rnacentral:rRNA from 1 species